rnacentral:rRNA from 1 species
UGGGGAAUAUUGCGCAAUGGGCGAAAGCCUGACGCAGCGACGCCGCGUGGAGGAUGAAGGUCUUAGGAUCGUAAACUCCUGUGGAGAGGGAAGAAUUAAUGACAGUACCUCUAGAGGAAGCACCGGCUAACUCUGUGCCAGCAGCCGCGGUAAUACAGAGGGUGCAAGCGUUAUUCGGAAUUACUAGGUGUAAAGGGCGCGUAGGUGGUUUGGAAAGUCAGUUGUGAAAUCUCACGGCUCAACUGUGGGUCUGCAACUGAAGCUUCUAGACUUGAGUAUAGGAGGGGAAAACGGAAUUCCUGGUGUAGCGGUGAAAUGUGUAGAUAUCAGGAGGAAUACCGAGGGCGAAAGCGGUUUUCUGGACUAAUACUGACGCUGAGGCGCGAAAGCUAGGGGAGCAAACAGG